UCAUUGUUAGAUUUAUAAAUUUUAACGUACAACAAUUGUUUAAAUUGCAUCCAUAAAAUAUACAUAUUCUCCGACAACGAUGUUACCGAUAGCGACGAGUAUAAUAACAACAAGGUUAUCUCCCUUAUGCAUAUACGUAAUUUCCUGUUAGUAAUUGACAAACAAGAAAUGUUCAAACAUUUACGUUUUUUUAUCUUCAUUUGCUGCUUUUCGAGGAUGCUUCUGUCGGGUUUUGACAGGACAGUAUCCAUGUUACCUGCCCGGCCCCCUCCAUUACAGUUGGGACAUUGCCUGCCAGUCUUCUUCCCCAAUCAUGCUCAACCGAUUGGUCCAAUAUUGUUCAAAACUUGAUGGAAAUGCGGUGUCAUCGUAGUUUGGAGUAUGUGCAGAGCACUCGGGACAACAAGCAGUUUAUUUCUUCGAUGAGACUGAAUUGAAAGGGAGCAGACACUGUUGUGAGCAUGAUGAUCACUUCUUCAAGUACCAUGGCUUGGAGAUAAAAAGCCGAAAUUGGCACUUUGGUCUUAGCAGCAAACAGGCCUGGCUUUGUGCGGUGCAGUUUUGCUGCAUCGGUGAUUGUUUAGUUUACCUGAUGAAAACCAGAGCAGUUGUGUACCCUGAACUCCUUUCCGAAUUCUUCAUCAAGGGGAUGGAUCUUGAAUGGCAGUGGUAUUAACAUGACAAGAUCAGAGAAUACAGCAGAUUAGACAUUGAAAAAGACAGUGUGCCCUAGACAGUCUCAACCAAAGCAUUGAACAAACUGUACAACCUGUUAAUUAACUUUUUAGAGCUGUUUGUUUGGACUAGUGUUUGUCAUUCAGAAAUAAGUUAUAACAUUAUUUAUCAGUAUAAGAAACCUGCAGGAAUUAGAAGCUGAUAUUUACUAUAACUAUGUAAACAAACCUCUUAGGGGUUUAGCCAGGUUAAAGAAAGACAGGGAGCUACAGAAAAGAGACAGGUUUCCAUGUUUCAAUAGGACACCCUUCAUUUAUCUGUGAAGAAUUUUAACAUUUUGAAUGUUACAGAAAAUGUUAGGAAUAUUGUAUAAUGUUUAAUUGAAGUACUAUUAGGUUUCAAGUGCCAAAUAUUUAAAGCCUGUGUGUAUUUAUAAUCUUGUGAAUAUAAAGUUGUUAUCAAAACAAAAUCAAUAUUUGACUCUCUUAAGCUUUUAACCCUAUGAAGGCAGUAGGUUGCCAAUCUUACUCUUCAUGACUGGUGCUUCCAAAAAAGAACAGGGUGCAGAAACCUUCCAUAACUCUUGCUAGAACCCUAAUAUCCUUUUUUCAUCAAAUUACAGUAACAUUGACAAUUAACAAAUAAUGCAGUGAUAUUUUUUAUGCUAAUAUCAUCAAUUUUUAUUGUCAUUAAGUUUUCUUCUAGAAUUGAUUUGUACCUGUAAUGUAUUGAAAAUUGAUACUUGUGGUUGCCAUGGUUACAACUUGUUUCUUAGUGUAGUAAUAUGUUUUAUAUAUAUAAAUACACAAUUGCAUUAUGUAAACUUAUAAUAUUUUAAGAAAUAAUGAUUCAAACGCAUGUACAGAGACAAUAAAUACACUACUUUGUAUUUUUGUUGCCAUGGCAAUGUUUCUGUGUAUAUUUGUUACAUUUAUUGUUUUUAAUUACAGGAUUGUCCAUUAGUGAAAUUAUAAUGUGUAUAAUAAGCAUAGCUACAAAAUGUAUAGAUACAUGAAAAUACCUAUUUAUGGAUGUACAUUUUCUUCAUAUUUCGAUAAUAGAAUAGAUUUUGUACACUGACCCCCCUUGGACUUAAAUCAUCAUAGUAACAAAAGUCUUAAACAUUUUGAAUAAAAAAAUAAAUAAAUAAAUUUUUAAAGUGUCUGUCAAUGCUUAGGUUAUUUGAGUACUUUUUAAGAGCGGCGUGUGUGAUCCCUUUUACGUUUAAUAUUGAAUUGCAUCGUAUUGUGGUUGUCAUGGUAACAUUUUGAUUGCCAUUUAAAACUUCAGUCAUAAUUUUACAAGAAUUUUGUCACCAGUUCAAUAAUAUGUUAUUUUGUGUAAGAUAUAUAACUACAAAUUAUAUAAAGACAUAAAAAACAUGUGUUGUUUCAUUUCUUUAUCUAAAAAAUAUGCCACUUUUUGACACUUUCAUCGAUAAAUUGAUCGACUCCUGUGCUUCUUUAAAUCGUCAUAACAACAAAAGUAC